UACGUAGGGGGCAAGCGUUGUCCAGAAUCAUUGGGCGUAAAGAGCGUGUAGGCGGCCAGAUAAGUCCGCUGUGAAAUCUCGAGGCUCAACUUCGAGCUGUCGGUGGAAACUGUCUGGCUAGAGUCCGGAAGAGGAGAAUGGAAUUCCUGGUGUAGCGGUGAAAUGCGCAGAUAUCAGGAAGAACACCCGUGGCGAAGGCGGGUCUCUGGACAGUUCCUGACGCUGAGGCACGAAGGUCAGGGGAGCAAACGGG
rnacentral:rRNA from 1 species